GGCGAGGGGAGUGAAAAAGAACCUGAAACCGUGUACGUACAAGCAGUGGGAGCACAGGUUUACCUGUGUGACUGCGUACCUUUUGUAUAAUGGGUCAGCGACUUAUAUUCUGUAGCAAGGUUAACCGUAUAGGGGAGCCGUAGGGAAACCGAGUCUUAACCGGGCGUUAAGUUGCAGGGUAUAGACCCGAAACCCGGUGAUCUAGCCAUGGGCAGGUUGAAGGUUGGGUAACACUAACUGGAGGACCGAACCGACUAAUGUUGAAAAAUUAGCGGAUGACCUGUGGCUGGGGGUGAAAGGCCAAUCAAACCGGGAGAUAGCUGGUUCUCCCCGAAAGCUAUUUAGGUAGCGCCUCGUGAACUCAUCUCCGGGGGUAGAGCACUGUUUCGGCUAGGGGGCCAUCCCGGCUUACCAACCCGAUGCAAACUGCGAAUACCGGAGAAUGUUAUCACGGGAGACACACGGCGGGUGCUAACGUCCGUCGUGAAGAGGGAAACAACCCAGACCGCCAGCUAAGGUCCCAAAGUCAUGGUUAAGUGGGAAACGAUGUGGGAAGGCCCAGACAGCCAGGAUGUUGGCUUAGAAGCAGCCAUCAUUUAAAGAAAGCGUAAUAGCUCACUGGUCGAGUCGGCCUGCGCGGAAGAUGUAACGGGGCUAAACCAUGCACCGAAGCUGCGGCAGCGACACUGUGUGUUGUUGGGUAGGGGAGCGUUCUGUAAGCCUGCGAAGGUGGCCUGUGAGGGUUGCUGGAGGUAUCAGAAGUGCGAAUGCUGACAUAAGUAACGAUAAAGCGGGUGAAAAGCCCGCUCGCCGGAAGACCAA
rnacentral:rRNA from 1 species